rnacentral:rRNA from 1 species
AUGGCCGAAUGCUUCAAUAGGGUGCUCAAAGGUGCACGUGGAUUACCCGUGACGGCAAUAGUUCAAUACACAUUUGACAAGAUGAAUGCGUACUUUGUAAAGUACUCGAUGGAAACCGAUGCACAGAUAGCGGGUGAGAACCCACGGAAGUACAAGUACAAGUUCCCACCCAAAGUUGAUGAAUGGUUGUUAUUUCAAUCACGGAAGGCGGACUCAGAAGAAGCUAUAUUAUAUGACAACGAAGAGUGGAAGUACGAAGUGAAAGAGCCAGGAGGAACCACAAACGAUGGCCGGCAACAUGGAGGUCGGGCUUUCAAGGUGUCGUUAACACAAUGUGAUUGCACUUGCGGGAGGCCAUUGUUGCUUCAUCUCCCAUGCUCACAUUUGUAUGCCGCCGGUCGCGUUAGGAAUGUGGACAUCAAUCACCCACGCACCGUGAGGGAGUCGGAGUUCUCAAUCAUGAUGGUCAAGAAAACAUGGGCUCCCCGCUUUCACCCAUACUUUGACCAAUCACAAUGGCCGGAGUAUCAUGGAGUUCAACUAUGGCCGGAU